rnacentral:rRNA from 1 species
GACGAACGCUGGCGGCGUGCCUAAUACAUGCAAGUCGAACGGUCUUUUCUAUGGAAGCUUGCUUCCACUGAGAAGAUAGUGGCGAACGGGUGAGUAACACGUGGGUAACCUGCCCAUAAGAGGGGGAUAACAUCCGGAAACGGGUGCUAAUACCGCAUAGUUUUCUUGAUCGCAUGAUCGGGAAAGGAAAGACGGCCUUUGUGCUGUCGCCUAUGGAUGGACCCGCGGCGUAUUAGUUAGUUGGUGAGGUAAUGGCUCACCAAGACGAUGAUACGUAGCCGACCUGAGAGGGUGAUCGGCCACAUUGGGACUGAGACACGGCCCAAACUCCUACGGGAGGCAGCAGUAGGGAAUCUUCCGCAAUGGACGAAAGUCUGACGGAGCAACGCCGCGUGAGUGAAGAAGGUUUUCGGAUCGUAAAACUCUGUUGUCAGAGAAGAACAAGUUGGAGAGUAACUGCUCCAGCCUUGACGGUAUCUGACCAGAAAGCCACGGCUAACUACGUGCCAGCCGCCGCCGUAAGAC